AUGUUGCAUCAAAUGUCUCAUAGAAAACCAAAUUGGUAUUAAUACAGUUCAGCCAAUUCACUUACACUCAUCAUCACUCAAUGCUCAUCAAAUUACAUCAAAGUUCAUUAAGCAUCCAAUUCACUCAAUCUCAUCAUCACUCAAUGCUCAUCAAAUUACAUCAAAGUUCAUUAAGCAU